AUGUUUCUUAUUCAGAAUAGGGGAUGUUUCAAGUGUCAGCAUUUUCUUUUUUGGGAACCCUUGGUGCCCAGGGAAAUGAUUGGCUCCAUGUUGAAGUGGCUGUAUGUUCUUUCUGGUUCUGUUCCCUCUAGGGCACAGCCAGCAGAUCCUGCUCGUCCUCUGAGUAGGGAGGAUGACAACUCAGAGGGGCAGGACAGGGAGCUGAGUCAGCUGUACCCACAGGAUUCCAGCGAGGCAGAGACUUCAGCUGAGCUCUGGCCGAGUGAGGAUGAAGAGGAAGCAAGAGACAACGAUGAUGCAUGGACAGCAAGUCCCAUUAGUCCUCUAAUUCCUGAGGAUGACAACGCAGAGAGCCAGGCAUACCCACUCGGUUCCAGACCAGCCGAGGAUGCAGCUGAAGUCCUGGCAAAUGAGAAUGAAGAGGAGCCACAAGAUAUUGAAACAACAAGGCCCUCUGGUAGUCUCCUCUGUGUUAUUUGCAGGGGUUGCU
rnacentral:lncRNA from 1 species